GACGAACGCUGGCGGCGUGCUUAACACAUGCAAGUCGAACGAAGUGGCGAACGGGUGAGUAACGCGUAAUCAACCUGCCCUUCAGAGGGGGACAACAGUUGGAAACGACUGCUAAUACCGCAUAAUGAAGAAGGGGAUUGUGUCUGAUUAGCUAGGUGGAGGGGUAACGGCCCACCAAGGCGGUGAUCAGUAGCCGGUCCUGGAGGGUGAACCGCCCACAUUGGAAUGGGACCCGGCCCAGACUCCUACCGGAGGCAGCCGUGGGGAAUUUUCCGAAAUGGACGGAAGGCUGACGGAGCAACGCCGCGUGGGUGAUGACGGCCUUCGGGUUGUAAAGCUCUGUUAAUCGGGACGCGGUACCGGAAUAGAAAGCCACGGCUAACUACGUGCCAGCAGCCGCGGUAAUAC
rnacentral:rRNA from 1 species